rnacentral:tRNA from 1 species
UCCAGGGUAGCGGAGUGGACAAGGCACCUGCCCGGUAAGCAGAAGGGUGUGGGUUCGAUUCCCGCCCCUGGAC